GGGGAUGUAGCUCAGUGGUAGAGCGCAUGCUUCGCAUGUAUGAGGUCAUUCCCGGCAUCUCCA
rnacentral:tRNA from 1 species